rnacentral:lncRNA from 1 species
AAAGGGAUGUAAGCACGGGGCCACGACUCCGAUAACCGGUUUCCCUGCACCGUGCAACGAGCCCGCCGCGCCCUAGGGGAACUCCGAACCUCAACAGAAGAAAAGUUUCGCCCGCUCCGGUGCAGCGAACUGCCUUGGGAGCACCCGAAGGGGCCGGAAAAUACCUGUACGACACUGCCAAGAGCAAAGCCGGGCUUCUAGAAAAACCGGAGAGAAGGCGGAGCUUCGGAGCAAGACCCAACGGCGCCGAUCUAACACCCCCGGCUCCAGGUUCUUGCCGAACCUGGAAGUGCUCCUUUUACUUCCGUGGGGAAGAGGCGGUGACAAAGAGAUACGGUGAGAAAACAGGAGGUGAUCAGAAUUUAUGCUUCCUUUUUAAAAUUCAGAGCUAGCAAAGUGCAUCACAGAGAGCAAAAACCAAACCAAGAAAGUAAAUACGUUGUUUUAUUGAAUCCAAGAAGAUGAAGAGAAUAUUUGCUGCAUGGAGUGGUUUAUUGCCAGAGCAGUUGUUGGGGAAACAGCUAUUCCUACAUUAAAAAUGACAUUUACAGAAUCAACUAUCAAAUUAUUCGCAGAAAACAUUUAAAAUGAAAUUUUUGUUUUCAUUUAAGACAUUUAAAAUGAAAUUUAAUUCCCAACUCCAAUGUCAAAGAAGGUUAUGAACAUCGUUUACAGUAUUAAUUAUGCAGAGUAGGGGGAGGGUUGCAGACUCACAAAUGAGUUGCCAGUUUAGAUGGAAACCACUCACUCUGAAAAGCCUAAUAAGAGAUUUCUUUGAAGUACCACGUGCUUCAAACGCUGGGAGAAUAUUGGAGACUCAUAGAGGUUUCUAAGGCCUUAUACUUUACCAGAAUCAUUUUUGAAGUUAAAACAUUUCUUCACAUCCUGUCACGUCAUAAAAUAGAAUAUGCCCUCUACUGAUGUUUAUGAAAAUCCAAGAAUGCCCAAGUCAAGUUCUUUUGUGUACAAAUAACCUCUCUGUUCGAUACUGAAAACAGGCAGGGGGCACCUGGCUGGCUCAGUCGGUGGAGCAGGCAACUCUUGAUCUCAGGGUUGGAAAUUCGAGCUCCGCGUUGGGUGUAGAGAUUACUUAAAAAAAAAAAAAAAAAAAAAUUACAAAAUACCGAAAACAGGAAGUCCUAAAAGGAGAAGUGAUGUACAGAGUAAGGAAUACCUAACUGAGGUAUGACUUAUUGGUUAGCACUCAUUUACCAGGAAAUGGAAGGG